CACGUAGGAGGCGAGCGUUGUCCGGAAUCAUUGGGCGUAAAGAGCGCGCAGGCGGCUUGGCAAGUCGGGUGUGAAAUCCCGGGGCUCAACCCCGGGACUGCAUUCGAUACUGUCAGGCUAGAGGUAGGUAGGGGAGAUCGGAAUUCCUGGUGUAGCGGUGAAAUGCGUAGAUAUCUGGAGGAACACCGGUGGCGAAGGCGGCAUCCUGGACCGGCAUUGACGCUGAGGCGCGAAAGCUAGGGGAGCAAACGGG
rnacentral:rRNA from 1 species